AUACGGAGGAUCCGAGCGUUAUCCGGAUUUAUUGGGUUUAAAGGGAGCGUAGGUGGGAUAUUAAGUCAGCUGUGAAAGUUUGGGGCUCAACCUUAAAAUUGCAGUUGAUGCUGGUUUCCUUGAGUACGGUACAGGUGGGCGGAAUUCGUGGUGUAGCGGUGAAAUGCUUAGAUAUCACGAAGAACUCCGAUCGCGAAGGCAGCUCACCGGGCCGGAACUGACACUGAUGCUCGAAAGUGCGGGUAUCAAACAGGAUUAGAUACCCUGGUAGUCCGCACAGUAAACGAUGAAUACUCGCUGUUUGCGAUACACUGUAAGCGGCCAAGCGAAAGCGUUAAGUAUUCCACCUGGGGAGUACGCCGGCAACGGUGAAACUCAAAUGAAUUGACGGGG
rnacentral:rRNA from 1 species